GAUGAACGCUGGCGGUGUGCCUAAUACAUGCAAGUCGAGCGAACAGACGAGGAGCUUACUCCUCUGACGUUAGCGGCGGACGGGUGAGUAACACGUGGAUAACCUACCUAUAAGACUGGGAUAACUUCGGGAAACCGGAGCUAAUACCGGAUAACAUGUUGAACCGCAUGGUUCAACAGUGAAAGACGGUCUUGCUGUCACUUAUAGAUGGAUCCGCGUCGCAUUAGCUAGUUGGUAAGGUAACGGCUUACCAAGGCAACGAUGCGUAGCCGACCUGAGAGGGUGAUCGGCCACACUGGAACUGAGACACGGUCCAGAGUCCUACGGGAGGCAGCAGUAGGGAAUGUUCGGCAAAGGGCGAAAGCCUGACGGAGCAACGCCGCGUGAGUGAAGAAGGGCUUCGGAUCGUAAAACUGUGUUAUUGGGGAAGAACAAAUGUGUAAGUAACUAUGCACGUCUUGACGGUACCUAAUCAGAAAGCCACGGCUAACUACGUG
rnacentral:rRNA from 1 species